rnacentral:rRNA from 1 species
UGGGGAAUUUUUCGCAAUGGGGGAAACCCUGACGAAGCAACGCCGCGUGGAGGAUGAAGGUCUUCGGAUUGUAAACUCCUGUCGACCGGGACGAAAGCAGUAGAGCUUAAUACGUUCUAUUGUUGACUGUACCGGUGGAGGAAGCCACGGCUAACUCUGUGCCAGCAGCCGCGGUAAUACAGAGGUGGCAAGCGUUGUUCGGAAUUACUGGGCGUAAAGGGCGCGUAGGCGGCUCUUUAAGUCCCGUGUGAAAGCCCCCGGCUCAACCGGGGAACUGCACGGGAAACUGGAAGGCUUGAGUUCGGGAGAGGGAAGCGGAAUUCCGGGUGUAGCGGUGAAAUGCGUAGAUAUCCGGAGGAACACCGGUGGCGAAGGCGGCUUCCUGGACCGACACUGACGCUGAGGCGCGAAAGCUAGGGGAGCAAACGG